CAGCAAACAAAGAGUCACCAAACAUCUUCUCAUAUGUCAGGAAAGGUUACAAGCCAUAGGAUAGAAAACAUGUAUGGUGUCUUCCUGCUCUCCACUUCCCCCACUAUCACCUUGGGGUUGACCAGAAGCGCCUAGGCCUUUUGCUCUUUUAGGUAUUGAAUGUCCCACUAGUCUAUGAUCAGUGUUUAAUAACAUUCCUCCAUCUGUCUUUCAGGAAACUUCCAAGGAUUUAUGCUUAACACACUGAUAUUAACUCAUAGGAAAACAUCCUGCCAUUUCUGCUGCUUCCAGGGUCAGACAAAGAGAGACUCACAAAUGCAGAACUCACAAAAAUCAAGCCUCAUACAUUUUAAAAGGUUAAAUGCAAUUAAUAUGAAACACUGAAACAUUAUUAAAAUAAAACAUAUAUACCCG